AGUGAACGCUGGCGGUAGGCCUAACACAUGCAAGUCGAACGGCAGCACAGUAAGAGCUUGCUCUUACGGGUGGCGAGUGGCGGACGGGUGAGGAAUACAUCGGAAUCUACUUUUUCGUGGGGGAUAACGUAGGGAAACUUACGCUAAUACCGCAUACGACCUACGGGUGAAAGCAGGGGAUCUUCGGACCUUGCGCGAUUGAAUGAGCCGAUGUCGGAUUAGCUAGUUGGCGGGGUAAAGGCCCACCAAGGCGACGAUCCGUAGCUGGUCUGAGAGGAUGAUCAGCCACACUGGAACUGAGACACGGUCCAGACUCCUACGGGAGGCAGCAGUGGGGAAUAUUGGACAAUGGGCGCAAGCCUGAUGCAGCCAUACCGCGUGGGUGAAGAAGGCCUUCGGGUUGUAAAGCCCUUUUGUUGGGAAAGAAAAGCAGCAGGUUAAUACCCCGAUGUUCUGACGGUACCCAAAGAAUAAGCACCGGCUAACUUCGUG
rnacentral:rRNA from 1 species